rnacentral:rRNA from 1 species
UAGCUCACUGGUCAAGUGAUCCUGCGCCGACAAUGUAGCGGGGCUCAAGUACACCACCGAAGCUGCGGCAUUCACACAAUGCACCCGCUUGAUUCUGCGGAGUCUUGGGCAGUGGUGUGGAUGGGUAGGGGAGCGUCGUGUGGCCAUGGAAGCGGCAGUGUGACCUAGCCGUGGAGGCCACACGAGUGAGAAUGCAGGCAUGAGUAGCGAAAGACGAGUGAGAAACUCGUCCGCCGAAUGACCAAGGG